AGAUUUUGGGAGAUGCCUGCGCUGUCUGCCUCUUUUCAGACCAUGGGAACACUGCAAGGAAAAUAAUGAGGAGAUAUGAGGUUAAGGAAUGUGGGAAUUCAAGGUUCUAUAGACCAUGCUUAUGGAUGGAUUGAUGUAGCUGCCUGCUAGGCAUGACAACACCUGCAGCAAGCAGAGAUGUGAGCUCUGAUCCAGCAUUGCUGCGUCAUGUUAAGAAUCAGCUGGACACCUGCUUUCUAACCUGCUAAAACCUUCUGUUCUUAGAAGCUCCCCAUAAACUUUGACAUGUGUAGGUUGGACAAAGAAUUCAGUUCUUGACUGUUUGAGAAGUAUGGCAAUGUUAUUUAAGAAUGUUUUGACUUAUUUAUCAGCUUUGUCUUCUAGCCUAUAGCCUCCUUUCAGACAAUUACCCUCUGUUGUUUUGUAUUAUUUCUCUUUCUGUCUGAUUUUUCUUAGUUUUGGUUUCAUCUCACCAUGGAUUGAAGAUCAAGGGAAAAAUAUUCUUCCACUUUGCUUUAAUGCAACAUGAACAAAGGUGUUAGAAUGUGAUUUUCAGAAAAUAAGUCAUAAUAGUUAUAAAUUUGUGACGUACCCGUUGGGAUUACACAGGCUGGUCAUGUGCUGGCUUGAAAUCUGGGCUGAAACUGUUACAGCUCAAUUGAAAUCAACGUUGCAAAUGUAUUUACUCAGAGUGAGAUCCAUGGAGUGCAAACACCCCAGGCCUAAUAGUGGACGGAAAAUAGAAAAAGCAACUCCUACUCAUUUACUAUGAUAAAUGAUCACCUCAAGAUCCUAAUGGCCGUGGUGUUCUAUCAACAUGUUCAGCUCCUAUCCAACAUCAGGUGGGGUGGUGGUGGCGGAUGAGUGCAGAGCUCAAAUUAUGCUCUGAUCUUGGCAGGUCCUGGAUAAUUUAACAAGCAUGAUUAGAUGCUAAAUAAAUAUUGGUUUUGCAAUUUGCUCACCAGUUUUGCUCUUGGAUAAAAGAGGCUACAAAUACUGUUGCACUGGCAACAGGAACAAACAAUUUAAAAGAUCCGUUCAGACUGUGAUGAAAGCGUUUGAAGAAGAAAAUUUUGGUGGAAUCAUGUUUUGCUCUAAUGAAAACCCUCUGUUCUGCAGUAACUGAAGAAAAUCAGCAAACUCUACUCCUCAUGACUUGAAUUUAAUUGUCAAUUUAAAGGUGAAGCAGUUUUGUGAAAGGAGGAAGUCCCUCAACAGACCCUAUGUAACAGGAUAAGAGCUAAGAUGAGCUCACUUGUUUCAAUGUCAUAUUCUUUGGUUUUGAUAAAGUUUUCAUAGAUGAAGAUAUCUGGCUACACACACAUAGUUUAAUAUAAUAUAGUUAUAUUUACUUCCAAUUUUUGCCAUUGAGGGACUAUUCUUGUAGUGCUCACUUCCUUUGUCUUCACUAUAUGCAUGUGUAUUUUUGCAGUGAAAUAAAUGUAUGUACACACACAGAGUUGUGUCAGUGAAUGCCUAGUUCGUUUUUGCACUAAAAAACCCUCCUGUUGCUUUCAACUUCAGUUGAAGGAGACAGAACUUCAGAUAAGAUACGACCUGCUUUGUCCUGGGCAAAUAUGAGUGGUAAACUGUAGAAAUUGUGGUCAGUGUUUUUCCCUUUAACCCAGCAGCUGUCCUGUGCUGUGUAGUCCCUAUUCACAGUGGGUAUUUAUUACAGCUUCAUAAGAUAAUGCACAACAUUAAUGCCCUGCACACCCUUUUCAACUGCUUCUGCAAGUUAGCUCAGCAUUACACUGCACACCCUCCUUUACUACAUGCACCAAUCUUGAAGCUUGGCUACAUAUCAACUUCUUUGAUUUUUUUUAUUUUUAUUUUUUAUGUUUCAAAUUCAGUGGUUUUGAUUUUUUUCUAUAUUUUAGUGUAAAAUAUCUUCAGUGGAGUUAUACCAAAUCAUGGCCAGCUUAUGAAAUGUCUCCUACUGCUCAAGAAUGAUGGAAUAUUGGUUUAUACACAGAGAUAAGCUCCAGUUUCAGAUGCUGCUGUAAUGUAGAAGAAGAGAGGCAGAGCUCGGGAGACCUGACAGGAGUGAUACCCCUUUAUCCUAUGACCACAUCUACUGUGGGACCUCCUCAACUGCCAUCUUCUUGAUUUGAAGCCUUUUCUUCAAGACAGAGACCCAAAGAAGUGCCACACGCACAGCACCUGGAGCAGCCAAAGAGUUAAAUCACUUCCCAUCGCCGUUUACAUGGGAUACAGAAACAACUUUUCCUGCUGCAUCUGUAGCUGCCAGCAGAACUCAGUGACAGCUUUAUAAAUCACACCUGAAGCAAAUAAAAAUGCCAUGUCCAGAAUGA